rnacentral:rRNA from 1 species
GCCAGUGAAUGGCAAGACUAAGAACAACUCUACUCUGUAUAUAAAAAAAAUUUUCAUCUAAGUGAAAAGACUUAGAUAACAGAAGGAAGACGAAAGGACCCCGCGGAGCUCCACCAUCUUCUUAUACUCUAGUUCACACACUUAUAAGUANNAUGAGGNNUGNUUGGGGCAANCAUGGAACCACAAAGCUUCCAAUUNUNAAAAAAUCUNAUNCACAACUUACUAAGGACCACAAAGAAGCUACCCCGGGGAUAACAGACGUAGUCCANCCAANNAGUCCAUAUCGANCAUUGGGUUUGCGAGCUCGAUNUUUGCUAC